UUUAAGCACUUAUCUCAACGUAGAAGAGAGCAAAGUGAGCAGCAUGUUCGACGAUCUGCAAUUGAUCCACAUGAGUGUGCGAAUUUUACGCUUUUGGUCAUUGAUCUACGAACACACUUGGCGACGUUAUGUUUGCCUGUCGAUGACGACCUUCUUGGUUUUCACACAGCUUUACUAUAUGUUCCGCACCAGCGAAGGUAUCGACUCCAUCAUAAGGAAUUCGUACAUGUUGGUUUUAUGGUUCAAUACCAUACUUCGGGCGUACCUAUUGCUGUAUGAUCGAGAAAAGUACGAAAAGCUGUUGAGCGAUUUGGAAACAUUUUACUAUGACUUGAAGCGAUCAAAGGAUUCUUAUAUACAGGACCUACUGGUGGAAGUCAACACGACAGGCAAAUAUAUGGCACGAGGCAAUCUCUUCCUUGGGCUACUCACCUGCUUUGGUUUUGGCUUCUAUCCGCUCUUUGCUACGGAAAGAGUUUUGCCCUUUGGAAGCAUGAUCCCGGGCGUUGAGGAAUACAAAAGCCCGUUCUACGAGUUCUGGUAUAUCUAUCAAAUGGUAAUCACGCCCAUGGGCUGUUGCAUGUACAUUCCCUAUACAAGUUUGAUAGUGGCUUUCAUCAUGUUUGGCAUUGUGAUGUGCAAGGCACUGCAGUUUCGGCUGAAGACGUUGCACCGCGUGGGGCACAUUGAAUCCCUCAUUCAUAAAAACGUCCGGGAAUGCAUACGCUAUCAACUGUCCAUUAUUGAUUACAUUACGCGCGUAAAUGCUUUGACGACUUACAUAUUUCUUUUGGAAUUUUUAGCCUUCGGCACACUGCUAUGCGCCUUACUGUUCCUGCUAAUCAUUGUUGACUCCUCGGCUCAGGCGAUUAUAGUUUGCGCUUAUAUUGCCAUGAUAUUUGCACAGAUUUUGUCGUUAUAUUGGUAUGCGAACGAGCUGCGUGAGCAGGGUCCAUCUGUUAGACCUUUGAGAUAUCGAUGUAAAGUUUUACACACGUUUCUUACUCCCGAAAAAGUUGCUCAAUUGUCGAAACCGCAGAUAUCGAACCACUGCAGCAUAUAGCUGACAUACCAACUCAUCCAUCAAAAAUGUGUAUUUGUAUGGGAAAACUUUUUGUUUGACGAUAUCGGGUGCAUUCGAGAUGGCAAUCACGACAGCAUGUUGCAAAUUAUACAAAUAAUGCCUGCGCAUCAGCGGAGUAUCAGCAAAUAUGCAACACAGCUGCUGUACCGCUGUAAUUAUUACGUAGCUCGAACGCACCCAUCUUCACGAAAUUUGUCAUGGAUUGUAGUCCAAGUGUUCCGAUCGGUUUAUUAUAGCACAUACAUAGCUACCAUACAAACUGGCAGAUCAAAAUCAAGUUCUUGUAUGGCAUCUUUUGUAUUAGUGAAAAUCUCGCUAUCGCAGCCGCCGCCUACGACACUGAAUGGUUCACAUUUCCGAUAGCCGUGCAAAAAUAUAUUCUUUUGAUGAU